rnacentral:rRNA from 1 species
AGAGACUGCCGGUGACAAGCCGGAGGAAGGUGGGGAUGACGUCAAGUCCUCAUGGCCCUUAUGUCCUGGGCUACACACGUGCUACAAUGGCGAUGACAAUGGGAAGCUAGAUGGCGACAUCGUGCUGAUCUCAAAAAGUCGUCUCAGUUCGGAUUGCACUCUGCAACUCGAGUGCAUGAAGGUGGAAUCGCUAGUAAUCGCGGAUCAGCAUGCCGCGGUGAAUACGUUCCCGGGCCUUGUACACACCGCCCGUCACACCAUGGGAGUUGGUUUGACCUUAAGCCGGUGAGCGAACCCGCAAGGGGCGCAGCCGACCACGGUCGGGUCAGCGACUGGGGUGAAGUCGUAACAAGGUAGCCGUAGGGGAACCUGCGGCUGGAUCACCUCCUUU